UUUGCUUUUCCAAGUUACCUUCUUAAAUCGGCUUUACAAUAGAUUUACAUAGCCUGCAGAUGUGCAGCAACAGAAUAAAACUAAACCCUUCUGAUUUCCAAAUCACCAUCAUUUAAAGAGCUAUAAUUCAUAUUUAAUGAAGAAGAAACAGCAGAAAAAGCAUCCACAAGCAUUUAACAAGCGACUCCAAGAACAUGAAGUUUUUACCCUCUGCUAAAAGCCCUUCACCUUAUUCCUUCAUUUUAUAGGCUGAUGGAACAUGUUUGGAAGAAUUUGGAUGUUUUAGAGCAUUAUUAAAUUAUAAAAGAGCUAAUAUUAGAAAUAAAUGAUAGCUUAGAUUAAAAUGGGAUGGUUGGAGAUUUUCCUGAAAUGUACAAAGAAUGUUCAUUUCAAUGAAAGUAAUUUAUUGCAAACAGACUGAGGAACAAUAACAAGGCUAUAUGUCACUAACCUUGAUUAUAAAGAAUAGAUCUUAGCAGACAACCCCUAUUUUUAUGUAAUUACUAAAUUAGAGGAUGAAAGGAAAGCAGUGGAUACAGACAAAUUUCAGUAAUGCAUUGAUCAAGGGUGACGAAACCUUACUCUCACAACUGAUUUGGAACGGUUGACUCUGAACAUCAUAAUGUGCUUUGCAGGCUGACUAAAAGACCAUAAAUGAAAGUUAAUGAGAACUGGCAAAGUAUUGUGGGUCUGAUGGAGAAUGACAGGAUCUGAAUUAGUUGAAGUCUAAUUUUAAAAUCCUCAAUCGUAAUCUGGACAAGAGUUCUGUCAAUUGUAGGUGGUAAUAAAUAGGGAGGAGCUGAAAAUUCCUGCAAAGGCAGAGCGAUAAUAUAAAGGAGAUUUACAAGAAUAAAAUAUGUGCUCAGAAGAAUCAGAGGGAAAAAAAAGGUAAGUUAAUAUAUCUAGGGACCAGAACAGUCAAUUGGAGAAUGAGCCUGCUUAGCUGGGUAUGCCUUGCAAGAGAAAUCUAGACCAUUGUAAUGGUGGUAGAAUGGCAUUAUUGUGCUAGAUGUAGAUGGAUAUUAUUCCUGAGCCUGCUGUGCUGAAUAACCAUGAAAGGAAGCACAUGGUGUUGCAGAGAUUCUUCUUAUUAGAGAGACAUGAGGACCAGGUACAGGUCGCUCGGUAGCACCGAAGGUCAGUCUCUGACACUGCCCAGUAGCAGAAAGGAAAAGCAUACAAGAACAUAAAGCAAGUAUCCCGAAGCUUAGCAACCAUCAAGGCUAGGGAAUUCCUGAGGUGAAAUCAUGCAGCUCCUAGACUACAAUGUUGAUUUGUAUUUGUGGACCUAUUCUACCAUUUUAGAACCACUUCUUGGCUUUCACAAUAUCAAAAGGCUACAAGUAAUUCAACAUGUAUGAUGUGAAAAAAUAUUACUUUUAUUUAAUUUAGUCUUUCUGCUUGAUAAUCUCACUGAUCACCUCCUAAUUCUUGUAUUAUGACAACUGGUGAAUAGUGUUCCUUUUUCAAUUUCUCUCUAUUGAUCGUGAUUUUAUAUACUUCUGCCAUACCACUUCUCUGUUUUCUGAGCUGAAAAGUCCUUGUUUGUUUAAUCUUUCAUUUUCUGUAGGCCGUUUCCUAUUGGUAAUCAUCCUUGUCACCUUAUGUAUAGCUUUUCUAUUACUAUUAUUUGCUAUCCGAGUUGGAGGGACUGGUAGUGUGCACAGAAUUCAAGAUGUGGAUGCAUAAUUUUGUUUUCUUUAUUGCUUUCUUGAUAGUUACUAAUAUUCUAUCUACGUUUUGACCAGAGAGUGGACAUUUUUGGAAUAUUCCUCACAAUGACUCAAAGAGCACUUUCCUGAGGAGUAAGAGCAAGUUUGAACCCUUCCCUGGCUGCGGUGACUGAAAGCUGCUGUUCCCAAUGACUGGAAGUAUAUGUGAAGUGAAGGCAUGGUCCCUACUGGACAUGAACUACAGCUAUUGGACAUGAAAACAACCAUUAAAAUGGGAUGGAGUGAGAAAUAUAUGGCCUGGGGAGCUGGAUCACAUCCCCGACUUCAUUUAACGCAGCCCUUAGCCAUGAAGUCUUCCUGCGUAAGUACUGGAUAACAACAAGUCUGCCUUGCUGCAACCCGAGAAGAGUGAGAAGCCUCUGGUCUCUGGCGGGAGCCUCGGAGACCUUGGCCUGGGCCAGCCUGGCCUCCACCCUGCCUGGUGUCCCAUCCCAAACACGGGCCCGCAGGCGGCACCUGCAACAGCCUGCAAUAACAGCACAGGGGGCUUGACAGCUAUUGUGGAAAUGAAAUGUUGCUGGCACUGCGACUCCAUGUGCUAUCACUUUGAUUCAAUGCAUCCAAGGAUUAUGAUUUUUGAAACCACGGAUGUCUGAAGUUUGGCUAAUAACAGACAGGCUUGUCAGCUACCCUGUGUCAAGGAUAACUACAUCUCCCUGGGAAGCAGAGACUGAAGAGCCAGAGUUACGUCCUCACACUAUGAGAUCUCUAAUUAACUGCAGCACCCAAAGCAGACCAGCCUGAAAUCAAUAUAUUAAGCUCCUAUCAAUGGGAAAAAUCCUCAAAUCCAUUAGCAAUUUAGAAACAGAAACAAUGUAGGAGUAUUGGAAAACUAUAUUUUAUCAUCUUUCAGAGGCUGUUCAAUAUUUUUGCAGGGUUUUGAAUGGAAUAAGAUUUGUUUCUCUGCAGUUUUAUAGAACUCAGCUGUUGGGCCUCUCCUACCACACAGUUAUAUUGAAUUACUUAAGGAAUUGUGCUGUGCUAUAGAUAACAAUGCCUGAUGUGCAUAACAUAUGGUAAAGAAUCCAAUACAAUAUUAUGAUGCCAUAUUAGAUUUUUGUCAGCUUUUCAUUAGUGUUCAGUAGACUGUCCAAGGUCUCACACCAGGGCCCAGGGCUCUGCUGUGCUAAUGUGAGUUCAUUCCUGCCCACUGCCUUGCACUAAUGCCCAGGUGUGCCUCAUUCAGUAACAAGCCUCCACCUCCCCAAUGCCCUUAUAUCAUGGAGAAGCUCUUUAGCAAUCCCAGGCUCCUGUUUGCCAUGAGGGCAGGUAUAUGUGGGCCUGGCAAUGCAAGAGACUGUCAGGAAUUUAAGCUACCACCUGCAAGUCUGACUUUUUGGUUAAAGGGCCCCAAAUAUCUACUCAAAUGCUGAUAUGGAGUGAAAAAAGUCACAAGUAUGAAAGCUGCUAGUGCUCUGGAUCAUUCUAUCUUGAACCUCGGUCUGUGGCUGAGAACACAACACCUGAACUUCUGGUUAUAUGUCGUUCUUAUCUUCAGACCUGCGUAACAGUUGCUGAACUGCAGCUCUCAGGUACUGUUAAUUGUAAAAAAUAUGGGUUCUUCCUUCAAGGGAAGUGAAAGUGUUUGGUACAUCUAAAUGCAGAAUGAUUGGAGAAGGUAGCCAUGGAAAAGGCUCUGUCCUCUCUGCUGUUAUAUUAAUUAUUUGAUUAUUUGAGAAUGCAGUUAAGAUACUUCCAGUGAAUACAAGUGUAGGCUCUUGGGUACCUUCUGUGCUAGGCUUGAAUGACACUAUCUUUCUUGCUGCCCGGCUACAAUCAACUCUAGAUAAAAAGGAUGUAUUUAACAGAUGGACAGAGGCAAUCCAGGCAGGCAUAAGAAAUACUUUGAAUUUCUUUACUCUCUUGCCAUUCUCCCAGUGCCUGACUUAGGGCUUCUAGUUCAUUUGAAUUCAUCAGUGCUAUGAUUGCUAUGUAACUGAAGAUUGCCUGCAUAUGAGUACAGGUCUUCUCAAGAUAACUUAAGGAUAUGAGGCGUUUCUUACUUGUUGCUUUUUGUAUGUCUGGGAUUGAAGACUCACACCUGAAAAAAAGCUGUAGUUGUGUCCUGAAAGCAGUUGUCUGUUUGCUUAGCCACAUAAGUUGCUACUAGGAACCUGUGACUCUGCUCUGUGCGUCAGAUUUCUAUUUACCUUGUAUUUGAGAUAGAUUUUAUAGUAGUUUUGAAAGUUGUCCGUAGGAUCGGUCCUAGCUCAAUAAUAGAUUGCUUGUCUCUCCCGGGCAUUGGCCUCCCAGCGGCAACAUGCUCCGAGAUCAGCAGUGUCACUGAGCAGCCUGGGAGGCUUGCGAAUGCUGAAGACAAAACCUUUCACAGGAUCUGGUCCUGAAAGGUCUUACUCCUGCGUUUGGUGGUUUGGUUUUACUUCUCUGAAAAGUAAGAGUGACCUGACCAUUUUUACAACUAAAUGCAUAAUUUACUUCUUUCAUUUUAGCUUUCCUUAGGCAAGGUUUUUCAUUCCCUUCCCACCUAUAUAUGGGGAAACACAAAUGGGUCAUAUACCAUGUACACUCCCAUAUAUUUACAGACAAAACAUAAACAUACCUAUAUAUCAAUCAACCUAUAUACUAAGAUGGCUGAAAAUGGAGUGUUAUACUGGUCAAAUACCAGUUUGACAUACUUGGGAAAUUAUAAGAUAAAGUAAUGGUGACAGAUUAUAUGAGUAGAUGGUAACAUAGUAGCACGUGCAUAUAUCAAAUGUGUAAUAUUCAGAUUUUAUUUGGACUUUGGGCUACUUCUACACUUAUGAAAAACUGAAAACAUGUAAAAUUUGUAUGCAUAAUUGGAUAAUAUUUUAAUAUGAAUGUCAUAAUGGUUAUUUCUACUAGUGAAAAUGUGAUCAUAUGGAAGUCCAUUUCUAGGAGAAACUGUAUUUCUUAUUAAUAGGUUAUAUAAAACUCCUAGGACACUACACUGAUUGCUCUUUAGUCAGUUAAAAAAAAAGUUAGGUCGGGGAAAAAAACAAAAAUUUCAAUUACAUUUACAGCAGCAGCUGAAGGGGAACAAAAUCAAUGAAAGGAGCAUACUUAUUAGAGACCUGCAGUUGCCAUAAAACUGAAACUAAAUCACACUGACAGUGUCUGAACUUCAGAUAAAUUGCUUUGAAUUCAGAAUGGCAGCCUGGAGAAAUAAUGGAAAUGAUAUUGCAGUUGUUGAAGAAAGAGAUAGAACUUUUUAUAUCUGUUGCCUCUCUGGAUCUUGUAGAUAUUUCAAGGAUCAAACACUGAUUUGUUAUCUGUUUUAUUAUUAUUUUUUGUAUACAGACACCUGUUGUUUCUCCAACAGAUGAAACACUGCUGUCAAUCACCUUGGCACUGACUGGUUAGAGUAUUAUGUGGUUUUAAGGGAUGAGAUAUUUCUUCUUGGUAGCCAUCCAAGGUGACCUGUAGCUAAGCCUCAGUUAUUGUUUAAAAAAGGCAAGAGAAGGAAACAGGCACAAUAAGAUGACCAGUUCAAAGUUAUUCUUUCUUUCAAUAACUCAUCUAGCAAUACACUUCAUUUUCUGUGACAUCCUUAUAGAAUGAAAUCCUCUGCCGUUUCUCCUGGGUUUCUUUACCGAGUGCAACUGCUCUUUCUAAAUUCCCUGUAAUUGUCUGAUGGCUUGAUUCAGAAAGACUCUGAAUUUAGCUGUCGUAUUAAUUCCCUCAGUUCUGUGGUUUGUUUCUUGGAACACCCUUGAAAAAAGCUGCUGUGUAUCAGAUUUCGUACUGUUUUUGUAUUCUUUGGUCCCCUGUUGGAUGGAAAUUGUUUGCCUGAAUGUUGUUUGAGAGUGUCCCCAGGGACCCCUGGGGAAUAGGGCUAACUAGUAUUCUCAAGACACUUUAAAUUACAGGUAUAGAGGUUUGGUAAGGAAGAACAGGGAAUUCCCAGACUGGGAGAGAUGCUGAACCAAGGCCAUCAUAGACCUCUUUGCAGUAGCGAUAUGUAAGGGUUACGAUGAUAUAUAACUCUCCACAGCAGCAUUGGCACCUCAGUGCUGUGCUUUUGACAUUAUAUAUAAUGCUGUUGCCUUACUUUAAACUGAUUUGUUAAUUAUGUUUUCAACAUUAUUGUAGUUCUGUGCAGUGUAUUGUAGAUGUUUGUAAUUGCUAAGUUAUAAAUAUUUAUAGAUGUGUGUAUUCUUGGUAAAACCAAUGUGUUGCCCUAUUUUACUGAUGUAGAAAUGGUUCAUCUAGGGUACCAUAUAGUCUUCAUGGAAUAUCUGUGUGGAAAGAAAGAACAUAAACACGGAAAUAAAAUCCAAGCCACUAUGCACUGAAAUGUAAGGUGCUACACUGUAUACCUAAGGAAAUACAAAAUAGUUUAAAUGCAGCCUGUGAUAUGAAUGCAAUGGGACUGAAAAGUACAUUUAUCAACUGUGUCUGCAGCAUAUCCACACAUCUCUCGUUAAACACAAUAUAGUGUAAAACAAAACAAAAACACUCUAGAAACUGCAGCAGACCCAUUGUAAGGCAAACUGCCUGUAUGAGAGCAUGUGUGUGUGUAUGCUAGGGAUUCAGAAAAGGGGAAAAUGAAGCCUGUCCUUCUGUUUGAUUUCCUCUUAUUGUUCAAAAGGUUUGGAUGGUAGAUGGUUUCUCAUCCAUCACUUCCAGAAAAAGAAUUUUCAGACCUUCUUCCCCGUCUUUAUUUCAGCCUGAAAUUCAGUAUGACAGACCACCCACCGUAGUCUAAUAUUAAUUCAUGUUCCUAUCUUAAUAUAAUCCCACUGCUUAAAAGUGUUCUACAUUAAAAGGUCUCUCAUAUUUUCCUCCAUUUGUCCCAGAAAAUUAUUAAUACCAUGACAAUCUGCUGUAUUGUGAAAUUUUCACACAUUUAGCAAUUUUUUUGGGAGCCAAAAGGAGAGUUGGUCAUUUCACGAGCAAGAAUGGACUAUUUUAUCAUCUGGUUCUAAUAAAAUUAAUAGUUUAUGCAUGUUAAAAUGUUGACAUAAAAAUUGGACUGGGAGGUAUUAUAGAGACAGUGAACUGAUUCAUGGGAUUAAUUUAUGAAUCUGCAUUGUGGUUUAUUUUCAGGAAUUCUUUUUUUCAUAAGGGUUGCUUACAUUUCUGAAUAUAUAUUGGAUUGUUUGUGCCAGUCAAGUCAUACAAAGUAAAGCUGAAUUGCUAUAAAUUUUGGUUAAGAUUUGUGUAUCUAUGGUAAGUGGUAUCCUCCUACAAAUGAUGCAAUCCCGUUGUUGCAGAGGGGAGGAUUUACAAGCGUUGCAUAAGUUCGCUGGCUAACGCGAGACGAAAGCAUGCUAGUUUGAAGAAACACAACAAAAAGCUCCUUUGAUUUCAACUUCAGUU